UACGGGGGGGGGGCAAGCGUUGUUCGGAAUUACUGGGCGUAAAGGGCUCGUAGGUGGCCAACUAAGUCAGACGUGAAAUCCCUCGGCUUAACCGGGGAACUGCGUCUGAUACUGGAUGGCUUGAGUAUGGGAGAGGGAUGCGGAAUUCCAGGUGUAGCGGUGAAAUGCGUAGAUAUCUGGAGGAACACCGGUGGCGAAGGCGGCAUCCUGGACCAUUACUGACGCUGAGGAGCGAAAGCCAGGGGAGCAAAGCGGG
rnacentral:rRNA from 1 species